rnacentral:tRNA from 1 species
GGGGUUGUAGCUCAGCGAUAGAGCGCUCACCUAGCAUGUGCGAGGCCCUGGGUUCUAUUCUCAGCACCA